ensembl:lncRNA
UCUGUUGUGAGACUCAUGCUCAUUUCUGUUUAAGUGAAAUAUUUCAGCAUUUGUUUGUCAUCCGGUGCAGGCUCUCGGGAGAUCAGUAUCAUGGUGAGGUGCCAGCGGUGAAGAAAAGGCGACACUGCUUCCAGUUUUGACAUUUGUGCAGACUUUUUUUUUUGAAUCAACUACAGUUCCCCUAAAGUUUCAUUAGAAAUGCAGCGAUGAAAUGUUUAACAAUGUGUCUGUAUUUAUUCAUUACUCUUGCUGGACUCUCUCACCGCAAUAUUGUUCUGUUCAUUGAUUUAACUCAAACUGAUUUCGGUGGACAGCGCAGCCUACGUGAAGAUCUCCUUUGAAGCCCAUAGAUGCACCAUCUAUAGAAUUCCAUUGACUCCAGGUUUCUGUAGGCUUAUGUAAGCUUCUAUAUGUUUCUAUAGGCUUUUAUGGGCUUCUAUAGGCUUCUCCAGGCUUCUAUGGGCUUCUAUAAGGUUUUAUAGGCUUGUAUAGGCUUCUGUAAGUUUAUAUAGGCUUCUCUAGGCUUCUAUAUGCUGCUAAAGGCUUCUCUAAGCUUAUAUCUUCUUCUAUAUGCUUCUCUAGGCAUAUGGGCUUCUCCAAGGUUAUAUAGACUUCUAUAGACUUCUCUUGGUUUAUUUGGGCAUCUCUGGGCUUCUAAAGACUUCUCUAGGCUUAUAUGGACUUCCAUUGGCUUCUCUAGGCUUCUACGGACUUCUCUAGACUUCAGUAGGUUUAUUUGGGCGUCUCUGGGCUUCUAAAGACUUCUCUAGGUGACUAUGGACUUCUAUAGGCUUCUCUAGGCUUCUAUAGACUUCUAUAGGCUUCUCUAGGCUUCUAUGGACUUCUCUAGGCUUCUAUGGACUUCUAUAGGCUUCUAUGGACUUCUCUAGGCUUCUCUAGGCUUCUAUGGACUUCUCUAGGCUUCUAUGGACUUCUGUAGGAUUCUCUGGGCUUCUAUGGACUUCUGUAGGUUUCUAUGGACUUCUAUAGGAUUCUCUGGGCUUCUAUUGGCUUCUAUAGGCUUCACUAGUCUUCUAUUGGCUUCUGUAGGUUUCUCCAAGCUUCUAUAAGCUUUUAAAGGCUUCAACAUGCAUCUCUAGGCAUUUAUGGGCUUCUAUAAGCUGCUAUAUGCUUCGCUAGCCUUUUUGUUUUUGGCAGCAAAGAUUAAUGCUCGUCAGACGAGCAGCAUUUAAUACGUCAUUUUGUGUCCCGCUCCGAUGCAUGGCUUCACUGAGAGUCACUUCAUCGUGGGUUUUGCCUAGAGAAAACUAUCUCAACGUUUAUAAUACAGUGCGCUCUUCGCUCGUCCCGCGGGGCCAGACGCACAAAUUCCCCAGACGAUGACCGGGAGAUCCCUCAGUGGCGAUACCUUAAAAUCUGCUGCCGAUCACUGAAACGAACAUGCCUGACAUCUCACACUUAAAACAUAUCAGCACCACUCAGACUCUCAGACCGCAUCGCUGAAUGUCAGAAACAGAAUGCUAUGUUUGAUUAUUUGUGUUUAUUUCUAGAUCUGGCUAGCUGUCAUUCAUUUCUACAGUGAAAUUCGACUAGCUACUAAACAGACUAGCUACUUCUGAUGCUCUUAUGAGAACAGAUAAAAACAGAACGCACAGAUAUACAGCACGGAUGCUCGGUUUUAACUUGAAGAGACGGUCAGAAAGAAAGCAGACGCACUACAGAACACAUUGCUGUUUUUAUUAGAGCCUAAACCGGCAAUAAUACUGAAAAACGUCAACUCAGAACAGAUGGUGGCAACCCACGGCUUUUUUUUUUUUUUUUUUUUUUUUUUUUGGUAAGAGUACAUUAACUCUCGUUUUUUUUUUUUUUUUUUAAAUGUGGCAUGAAUAACAUCAAUAAAAGGGGGAAAAAAGAAAUAUACAACUUAUAUUACACUGUGUUAUGAACAAAAUAUAAAUCUAUACCUCUAUGUUAUAUUUACAUAAUUAUCUUUUAGCGAUUUUUUUCAAGUUGAGAUGGUAGGAUUUGUUUUUUUUUUUUUUUUUAAAGAAUGCAUGUAUGUGUGUGUGUGUGUUUUAGUUUGAAUUUUUUUUUCACUUUUGUUUUGAGCUCCACCCAUGACCUUGAUUGUCUUAUCUAUUAUUAUUCAUAGCAAAAAAAUGUCAUGCUUUAUAUAAUAAAUGAUUGACAGCUUUAGACCCUGUCCUUCAGAAUAUGUAUGAUUGUUAAAGGGUCCUGAUUGUGAUUGAAAAAAAUAAAAUAAUAAAAAAAUAAUAAUAAUAAUAAAAAAUUACACAUCAGGAUGGAAACUAAUGUUAAUGUUGUGAUUUUAUGAUUUUAAAAGGUGUCGGGCAUGGCGUGGAGCUAAAACAAAUCCAUCAUGGAGUCCCGUAGAGGUCACGUAUCUGAUAUGAGUCACUCGGUGGAGCAUCGCAUGAGCCUCUUCGAAUUUUUGAUAGAUAUUUCUUUUGUUAGAAUUAUCUUUAACACGUCCAAACUGGAGGAGACUUCAAAUUUGUAAAUAUGUAUAUAUAUAUAUAUAU